CCUACGGGCGGCAGCAGUGAGGAAUAUUGGUCAAUGGACGAAAGUCUGAACCAGCCAAGUAGCGUGCAGGAUGACUGCCCUACGGGUUGUAAACUUCUUUUAUACAGGAAUAAAACGAGGCACGUGUGCCUUUUUGCAUGUACCUUAUGAAUAAGGAUCGGCUAACUCCGUGCCAGCAGCCGCGGUAAUACGGAGGAUCCGAGCGUUAUCCGGAUUUAUUGGGUUUAAAGGGAGCGUAGAUGGGUUGUUAAGUCAGUUGUGAAAGGUUGCGGCUCAACCGUAAAAUUGCAAUUGAUACUGGCAGUCUUGAGUACGGUGGAGGUAGGCGGAAUUCGUGGUGUAGCGGUGAAAUGCUUAGAUAUCACGAAGAACCCCGAUUGCGAAGGCAGCUUACUAAACUGUGACUGACAUUGAUGCUCGAAAGUGUGGGUAUCAAACAGGAUUAGAUACCCUUGUAGUC
rnacentral:rRNA from 1 species